rnacentral:rRNA from 1 species
UACGUAGGGACCAAGCGUUGUUCGGAUUUACGUGGCGUAAAGGGCGCGUAGGCGGCGUGGUAAGUCACUUGUGAAAUCUCUGAGCUUAACUCAGAACGGCCAAGUGAUACUGCUGUGCUCGAGUGUGGAAGGGGCAAUCGGAAUUCUUGGUGUAGCGGUGAAAUGCGUAGAUAUCAGGAGGAACACCGGUGGCGAAGGCGGGUCUCUGGGCCGAUGACUGACGCUGAGGAGCGAAAGCGUGGGGAGCGAACAGG